GAUUAUGGCUCAGGAUGAACGCUAGCUACAGGCUUAACACAUGCAAGUCGAGGGGCAUCAUGAGAUUAGCUUGCUAAUCUUGAUGGCGACCGGCGCACGGGUGAGUAACGCGUAUCCAACCUUCCCCUUAGUAGGGCAUAGCCCGGCGAAAGUCGGAUUAAUACCCUAUGUUGUCAAUAGAGGACAUCUGAAGCUGACUAAAAGAUUAAUCGCUAAGGGGAUGGGGGAUGGCGUCUGAUUAGGGUGGUAGGCGGGGUAACGGCCCACCUAGCCGACGAUCAGUAGGGGUUCUGAGAGGAAGGUCCCCCCACACUGGUACUGAGACACGGGACCAGACUCCUACGGGAGGCAGCAGUGAGGAAUAUUGGUCAAUGGGCGUAAGCCUGAACCAGCCAAGUAGCGUGCAGGAUGACGGCCCUAUGGGUUGUAAACUGCUUUUAUGGCGGGGAUAAAGUCACCUACGUGUAGGUGUUUGUAGGUACCGCAUGAAUAAGGACCGGCUAAUUCCGUGCCAGCCGCUGC
rnacentral:rRNA from 1 species